UACGUAGGGGGCUAGCGUUGUCCGGAAUCAUUGGGCGUAAAGCGCGUGUAGGCGGUCCGGUAAGUCCGCUGUGAAAGUCGAGGGCUCAACCCUCGAAUGCCGGUGGAUACUGUCGGGCUUGAGUACGGGAGAGGCGAGUGGAAUUCCUGGUGUAGCGGUGAAAUGCGCAGAUAUCAGGAAGAAUACCAAUGGCGAAGGCAGCUCUCUGGGACGGUACUGACGCUGAGACGCGAAAGCGUGGGGAGCGAACAGG
rnacentral:rRNA from 1 species